rnacentral:tRNA from 1 species
AAGGAAGAAGCAUAAGUGGUGUAUAUGCGGCUGGCUUGAAACCAACAGAUGGGGGUUCGACUCCUCCCUUCCUUG